UCAUUUUAGCUCCGUCUGCAAUUCGUAACUGGCCGAAAACGAGUCGCAUUGGAGCAACUACACGUAAAAACAAAGCUUACGCACACAAUUCUGUGGGAGCUGUGACGUUAGCGUUCUGCGGUUGAGCAGUGCUAUCUGUGGUAGAAGCGGUGUUUCAUGUUUGGAAGCGUGGUCACUGCAUGGGUUUGUUUUCGUAGCAAUGACUGAAAGCAUGGCUUUGUUUUCGUAACAUUUGUGGCGGAAAUCUUGUUCUCACUGUCAUAUGCGAUUCGGAUUGUUAUUGAGCAUCUGCUCAAAAUGCCACGCAAGUGCUGUAUGCCCUAUUGUAGGGGAAACUACGACAACGGUUUAAAAGUUAGCGUCUUUUCAUUCCCGCCUGAUGAAGCAUUAAGAUUGAAAGGGAUCGCUGCAGUUCAUAGGAAAGACUGGGAACCCAGUAAACAGUUCGUUAUAUGUGAACUGCAUUUCACUGCAGACGACAUUGAGAAAAUUACCAGUGCUUACGACCCAAAACUGGCAAACUCUUUACAGUUUACAGCACCUUUGGACCGUCCACGUUUAAAGAAACGUUCGUGAAAAUUUAUCGUAAAGGGUACUUGUAAUCAGUUUACAGAUUAAAGUACAAGUUCCUUAAUUUUCUUACGAUAUUGUUAAAUAUCUAAGAUCAAUAAACAUUGCUAUACGAAUCUCAUGUUUAUCUCUCUCUAUUUGCGGAUGCUGUACCAUCAAAGUUGCCAGGAUGACCUACGUAUUUAUCUUCAAAACAAGUACCAGCUCGAGAAGAUCCAGAGGGUCGCGAACGUUUGGAGAACCAAGCACUUGAGAAAGUCAUUGAGCAGAGUGUGGAAUCACACAAAAAAUGAUGGAGAAGAGUUCAUUUGCUAGUUUAGAAGAUUUUAAAUCAAAAUUAUCUGAUUGUGAAAAGCACAGUGACUGGGUCACGGGUGUUAAAGGAUGCUCCUUAUCUAAGUGUUGUGUGUCAUGUCGUUAUAAAUAGUGAUUUAGUGUUAAGUGCAUUUGUGAAGGAAGCUGAGCUAAAUUGUGCUGGUAAGAUUAAAUUAUCAAACCAAGUAAGUGAUACUGGUACAGUUAGCAAUAUUUUGAAAGAGUUGUAUGUGAUGUUUCAUAUAAAUGAGGCUCCAUUUGA